UAAUAGGCAACAAUUUAUUAUCACGUCUUGUGACAAGGACCUCCUGCAAAGUUAUUGUUGGAGCAUCAACUAUGUUUACUAUAUUUAUUGAGUUAGAUGGUGGGAUAGAAAACCACUUAUCCAAGUUGCUCUUAAAUGUAUGCUUGAGUGACUUGUAAUAUUAAAGAUGAAAUGAAUAGAUGAUUCAAGUAUUCACAAGUCAUUUAUUCAUACUGCACAAAAGUAUAGCACAGAAAAACUUCCAGUUUUGCAACAGGUCAAAAGACAAGGACUUUUAUAUAAAAAGUAAACAAUUAAAAGGCACAGAAUUAAAAGUUACAGGUGCAUAAUUGGUUAACAGACAGAAUGCAGACAGCAGCGGUCAAUUACUUAUCACAUAGGAUGGUAGCAUAAUAUAACCCAGGAGUUUUGUCAAGAUCGCAUGCUAUUUUUCAGUACAAAU